rnacentral:rRNA from 1 species
GUGCCAGCAGCCGCGGUAACACGGGGGGAGCAAGCGUUGUUCGGAAUCACUGGGCGUAAAGGGCGUGUAGGCGGUGCGGUAAGUGAGAUGUGAAAUCCCUCGGCUCACCCGAGGAUCUGCAUCUCAUACUGCUGCGCUUGAGUACGGGAGAGGAUGAGGGAAUUCCUGGUGUAGCGGUGAAAUGCGUAGAUAUCAGGAGGAACACCGGUGGCGAAAGCGCUCAUCUGGCCCGAUACUGACGCUGAGGCGCGAAAGCUAGGGGAGCAAACGGGAUUAGAUACCCCGGUAGUCC